UUAUGGCUAAGUACUCCAUUGUAUAAAAAAAACCCAUAUCUUUCUUAUGUAUUCAUCAUUUGAUGGGCAUUUGGGUUGUUUCCAAGAUUUAGCUAUUAUAAAUUGAUACUAUCUUAAAUAUCACCUGCAUUCUCUUAAAUGAGAAAUCAAAAAUAUAAAUUAAUUUUUAAGCAUAAUAAAAACAAUACAAAAUAGGGAGCUAGAUCUUUUGAGAACGGGAAGGGGACUAAUGUAUGUAAGGAAGAAGAGAUGAAGGGGCUAAAAAUGAUUAAGAUGAGUUAUGUACAUGACUGACUCUCCAUGAUGAAUGUAAUUCUUAUGUACUGCAAAUUUCCAACUUGUAAAUCUGUAGGACCAUUCAUGAUUUACAAAGAUCCUGGCCAUACACCUACCUAGAAAUGAUGAAGUUUAAAAUCAUUUGGAAGUGCGGAAAAAAGCAUGUGUUUGAAAAGGAAUGUGAGCCAAAUGCCUGUGCCAGGUGCUGCUGGAGUCAUGGGCUUGCAGCAGUGGACAGAACUCCACCUCAGCUCACCCUGAGCCUGCCCCUUGCAGGGAAGAGAGGUAAUGAACACUAAGUACUAAAUCUGUAAGUCACGGUGUGAGAAGUGGCUGAGAAAACAAAGCAACUGCAGCGAAUAAAUUACUGGAUAGAACAAUAUUUUACAAAAUGUGAUACUGCAAGUCACACGAUAGUGAGGAAUGAAAUGUGUGAGUGUCUGGACAAGAUGAUUUCCUUAACAGGAAAUAGAGUGUGUAAAGGGCCAGAAGAGUUGCUUGUUGUGAGGGGAAACAGCAAGAGGGCAAGGAAGAGACCCAGGCUACAGGGCUCAGUGGGGGCAGG
rnacentral:lncRNA from 1 species